rnacentral:lncRNA from 1 species
UUUUGUCUCUAUUUUUUACUAUUUGUUCUUUUGCCAUUAUAGUAAAAUUAUUUUUGUUCGUGAUUUUUUAUCUUUUUUGGAGGGGUUUUUUCAUGUUAAAUUUGUGUACUUAUUCAGCUAUUUUUACUUGUUCGUUACUUAAUCGGAUCGAUUCCCAACAGAAUUAAUCCUUCGAAAGAAAAAUAGUGAAAUUUUAUAUUGCUAUAAUCCAGAGACGAAUUUAGAGGGGCUGGUAGGGGUCUCAGCCCCCCUAAAUUGGAAAAUUGCUAUUUAGGCCUUUU